UACGUAGGGGGCAAGCGUUGUCCGGAUUUAUUGGGCGUAAAGAGCGUGUAGGCGGUUUGGUAGGUCCGCUGUGAAAACUCGAGCUCAACCUCGAGACGCCGGUGGAAACCAUCAGACUAGAGUCCGGAAGAGGAGAGUGGAAUUCCUGGUGUAGCGGUGAAAUGCGCAGAUAUCAGGAAGAACACCCUGGCUAAGGCGGCUCUCUAGUACGGUACU
rnacentral:rRNA from 1 species